CGUGAGAUGUUGGGUUAAGUCCCGCAACGAGCGCAACCCUUGUAUUUAGUUGCUACGCAAGAGCACUCUAGAUAGACUGCCGUGGACAACACGGAGGAAGGUGGGGAUGACGUCAAAUCAUCAUGCCCCUUAUGACCUGGGCUACACACGUACUACAAUGGCAAUGGAACAGAGGGAAGCGACUCAGCGAUGAGAAGCAGAUCCCGAAAAAUUGUCUCAGUUCGGAUUGCAGGCUGCAACCCGCCUGCAUGAAGUCGGAU
rnacentral:rRNA from 1 species